rnacentral:rRNA from 1 species
GUCCACGCCGUAAACUAUGGAUACUAGCUGUUGGAGGUAUCGACCCCUUCAGUAGCGAAGCUAACGCGUUAAGUAUCCCGCCUGUGGAGUACGGUCGCAAGACUAAAACAUAAAGGAAUUGACGGGGACCCGCACAAGCGGUGGAUUGUGUUCUUUAAUUCGAUGAUAAACGAUAAACCUUACCAGGGUUUGAAAUCCCAAGAAUUUUGCCGAAAGGUGAGAGUGCUUUAUUGAACUUGGUGACAGGUGAUGCAUGGCCGUCGU